rnacentral:rRNA from 1 species
AGUGAACGCUGGCGGUAGGCCUAACACAUGCAAGUCGAACGGCAGCACAGGAGAGCUUGCUCUCUGGGUGGCGAGUGGCGGACGGGUGAGGAAUACAUCGGAAUCUACUUUUUCGUGGGGGAUAACGUAGGGAAACUUACGCUAAUACCGCAUACGACCUACGGGUGAAAGCAGGGGAUCUUCGGACCUUGCGCGAUUGAAUGAGCCGAUGUCGGAUUAGCUAGUUGGCGGGGUAAAGGCCCACCAAGGCGACGAUCCGUAGCUGGUCUGAGAGGAUGAUCAGCCACACUGGGACUGAGACACGGUCCAGACUCCUACGGGAGGCAGCAGUGGGGAAUAUUGGACAAUGGGCGCAAGCCUGAUCCAGCCAUACCGCGUGGGUGAAGAAGGCCUUCGGGUUGUAAAGCCCUUUUGUUGGAAAGAAAUCCAGCUGGUUAAUACCCGGUUGGGAUGACGGUACCCAAAGAAUAAGCACCGGCUAACUUCGUGCCAGCAGCCGCGGUAA